CUCUGAUUUUAUACAUGAAGAUAUCUAUGGGUGAAAUACGCAAAUAUUCUUGAGCAAAUAUCGAGGCAAUUAUAAAAGAAAUAAUGAAAAAAAAUGAAUUCAAGUGAUCGCAUAAAAUGGAUAUUGUUGGUAUGUAUUCAGAUAUAAUAUAUUUCGUUAUAUCAAACCGUACAGUUAAUCUCAGCUAUUAAAUAUCCGCUAAAUGUGGAUGUCAUAUGGGCUAUAAAAUUGGUUUAUUUAAUACGUAAUUGUCUUGACAGGCAUUUUUUUAAACAGUUCCCAAGACAGGUUCAUUAUUUUGGAGAGCACAAUUGUUUGUAUAACAGAGCACCCUGCCAACAAAAAUGUAAACGCGACAGGGGCACUAUGAAUUUAUUAUAUAAACGGUACCCCUCGCCCAAUCAAGAUUAUUAAUUAACGAAGGAACACAACGCCAAAUUUCGGCUUGAGUUAAUGUAUGAAAGCGUUGAGAAGUAGUACUAGUAUAUCAUGUAUUUCACAUCAAAGCAUAAAAUUCAACAUAUUUUUUAUAUUAUUUUAAUUUUAGGUUAUUUGGACUGGAAUCAAUGCUCUCAUGUUUGGCCUCACUUUUGAAAAUUAUAAUUCAAGCAAAGAGUACUAUUAUCUCAGAGUUUUAACAAAGGUACCCUUCAUGUUUUGCUCGCUACUCUGGUUUAAAUAAAUGAUUACAAAGCCCAGUCGAAUUGUAAUCAGGACCCAACGUUUCGACACUCCAGUCUAUAAACUUCCAGUAUUUGCUCGCAGCUUUUCACUUACAAUUUGUAUUUUGUAAUUCUAGUGCAUACUAAUUAGAUUUACUAAUUGGCAAAAAUCACCA
rnacentral:lncRNA from 1 species